rnacentral:rRNA from 1 species
AUUGAACGCUGGCGGCAGGCCUAACACAUGCAAGUCGAGCGUGCGGCGGACGGGUGAGUAAUGCCUGGGAUUCGCCCAGUCGAGGGGGAUAACAGUUGGAAACGACUGCUAAUACCGCAUACGAUUGGAUUGCCUAGGUGGGAUUAGCUAGUUGGUGAGGUAAUGGCCCACCACGGCGACGAUCCCUAGCUGGUCUGAGAGGAUGACAAGCAACAAUGGAACUGAGACACGGUCCAGACUCCUACGGGAGGCAGCAGUGGGGAAUAUUGGACAAUGGGGGAAACCCUGAUGCAGCCAUGCCGCGUGUGUGAAGAAGGCCUUCGGGUUGUAAAGCACUUUAAGCGAGGAGGCGUUACUCGCAGAAGAAGCACCGGCUAACUCCGUGCCAGCAGCCGCGGUAAUAC